UUGAACGCUGGCGGCAGGCCUAACACAUGCAAGUCGAGCGGUAGAGAGAAGCUUGCUUCUCUUGAGAGCGGCGGACGGGUGAGUAAUGCCUAGGAAUCUGCCUGGUAGUGGGGGAUAACGUUCGGAAACGGACGCUAAUACCGCAUACGUCCUACGGGAGAAAGCAGGGGACCUUCGGGCCUUGCGCUAUCAGAUGAGCCUAGGUCGGAUUAGCUAGUUGGUGAGGUAAUGGCUCACCAAGGCGACGAUCCGUAACUGGUCUGAGAGGAUGAUCGGUCUCGCUGGAGCUGAGACACGGUCCUGACUCCUACGGGAGGCUGCCGUGGGGAAUGUUGGACCAUGGGCGAUAGCCUGAUCCAGCCCUGCCGCGUGUGUGAAGAGGGUCUUCGGAUUGUCACGCGCUUUAAGUUGGGGGGGGGGGUUGUGGGUUAGUGCUCUGCACUUUUGGCGUUACCGUCCGGGUUUGCGCCGGCUUGCUCUGUGCCGGCUGCCGCGGUAGUUCUGGGGGUGCAAGCGUUUUUCGGUCUUCCUGGGCGUAUGGCGCGCGUCGGUGGUUUGUUACGUUGGAUGUGAAUUCCCCGGGCUCCCCCUGGGAACUGCUUUCUUUCC
rnacentral:rRNA from 1 species